UUAACUCAAAUCUGUAUGGAGUUGGAUAGGGUUCCUACGUUUGCCGCUAGGGGCGCUGUUCCAACUGCAUACAAAUUUCGAGUUA
rnacentral:pre_miRNA from 1 species